GUUGGAGAGACCAGACAUGGAUGGUGUGGUGGCUUGGAAGAGUCAGCAUCUUCCGGAGGGCUGGAUUUGUAUACAGAUUAUGUUUACAUUUGGCUUUAUCAUGGAAGAUGUUAUUUUCUUUAUUUAUGAUGUUGGAUGUUUUCCUGGGAAUAUAAUCAGCUGAGUGGACCAGAGAAAUGGCUUUCUUCCCAGUUCAUCCAGGACCUCCAGCAAGUAGCUCAGACAAUACUAACCCUCCAAGGACAGAUGGACUCGCUGGCAGCAGUAGUACUUCAAAACCAAUAUGGAUUGGAUCUCCUCACAGCUAAAGAAGGUGGCCUUUGCAUCUUCCUCCAGGAGGAUGGAUCUCCUCACAGCUGAAGAAGGUGGCCUUUGCCUCUUCCUCCAGGAGGAAUGCUGUUUUCAUGUCAACCAAUCCAGUAUAGCAAAAGAGAAAAUCCAACAACUCUAGACAAAUCUACAAAAGUGAAGGGAACAGCUCUUGGGCCUUUGAGAACUCCACAGGGAAACAGAUUCUGCCCUUCCUCACUCCUUUUCUGCUCAACUUUCUGUUUUUGAUUUUUGCACCCUGCUUUAUUAAAUUCUUUUCUACAUUCCUCCAACAACAAAUGCAAAAAUUCUCCAACCUAACCAUUAAUCAGUUACUCUUACAGGAUUACCAACUCUGCUCACAGAACCAGAUGACAAUGGCCUUCCAAUCAACCCUGAUGGUGGGGACCAGCUAUCCCCCAAGAAUGAGAACACCCCUAAUCAGCAGGAAGUAGCCUGAAGAGCAAAGGUUGCUCCUAUGCCCUCCCUACCAUCACCACCUUCCUGGCUCCUCACUUUUUAAUAAAACAAAAAGGGAGGAAUAUUGGGAUCUGUAAGCAGACAUCUCUAUGGCCAGCCCCAAGGGACCUGACAAACCAGAUAUCAGGCAUCUGUGAGGCCAGCUAUGGACCACCUGAAACCACCUGUACAUGCUCUGGGUCACCUUACAAGAAAACUCACACCACCUCCCUUUUCUCUCUCUCUCUCUCUCUCUCUCUCU